CGUGGAUGAGCAGCGCGGGCCGCGAGGGGUCCUCGCCCUCGAUGCGCGCGAUGGUCGAGGCGCGCCCCUUGUGCGACUCGAAGAUCUGCGGC
rnacentral:tRNA from 2 species